UAGAUUAGCCUAUAUUGUUGUCUGGUAUGUAGUAGGUAAUAACUGACAAACAGAUGAUUGCCUAACGUGCCAGAAAGCAACGCAGGCAAGGCUUGCGGUUACAAAAUA
rnacentral:pre_miRNA from 1 species